rnacentral:rRNA from 1 species
UACGUAGGGGGCAAGCGUUGUCCGGAAUCAUUGGGCGUAAAGCGCGUGUAGGCGGCUAGGUAAGUCUGCUCUGAAAGCCCGGGGCUCAACCCCGGGAGGCGGGUGGAUACUGUCUAGCUCGAGUCCGGAAGAGGAGUGUGGAAUUCCUGGUGUAGCGGUGAAAUGCGCAGAUAUCAGGAGGAACACCAAUGGCGAAGGCAGCACUCUGGACCGUGACUGACGCUGAGACGCGAAAGCGUGGGGAUCAAACAGG